UACAGAGGUCUCAAGCGUUGUUCGGAUUCAUUGGGCGUAAAGGGUGCGUAGGCGGCGCGGUAAGUCGGGGGUGAAAUCCCGGGGCUCAACCCCGGAACUGCCUUUGAUACUGGGUAUCUCGAGUCCGAGAGAGGUGAGUGGAGUUCCGAGUGUAGAGGUGAAAUUCGUAGAUAUUCGGAGGAACACCAGUGGCGAAGGCGGCUACCUGGACAGUUACUGACACUGAGGCACGAAGGCCAGGGGAGCAAACGGG
rnacentral:rRNA from 1 species